ACUCCUACGGGAGGCAGCAGUGGGGAAUAUUGCACAAUGGGCGCAAGCCUGAUGCAGCAACGCCGUGUGAGUGAAGAAGGUUUUCGGAUCGUAAAACUCUGUCCUAAGGGAAGAAACAAAUGACGGUACCUUAGGAGGAAGCCCCGGCUAACUACGUGCCAGCAGCCGCGGUAAUACGUAGGGGGCAAGCGUUAUCCGGAAUCACUGGGCGUAAAGGGUGCGUAGGCGGCUUAGCAAGCCAGGGGUGAAAGGCAUUGGCUCAACCAAUGUAAGCCUUUGGAACUGUUAAGCUUGAGUGCAGGAGAGGUAAGUGGAAUUCCUAGUGUAGAGGUGAAAUUCGUAGAUAUUAGGAGGAACACCAGUGGCGAAGGCGACUUACUGGACUGUAACUGACGCUGAAUGCACGAAAGCGUGGGUAGCGAACAGGAUUAGAUACCCUGGUAGCACAGAG
rnacentral:rRNA from 1 species